ensembl:snRNA U2 U2 spliceosomal RNA
UGUGCUCCUCAGCCUUUUGGCUAAGAACAGAUUUACCCAUGUGAUCUUACCAGUUUAAGAUCUGACCUGUUUCCUGUCUGGGACUGCAUAAUAAGUGGAUUUUUGGAACAGGGAGUUGGGCUAGGACCUUGUUCCAUCCACUCCAUGCCUCAGCCUGGUAUUGCAGUGCCUUUGGCAGCACAAUAA